rnacentral:lncRNA from 1 species
AGAGGUUCAAAAGAAUUGAUUUGGCCACCUAUGUCACCAAAGUGCACUUAUCUUUUCGGUCAACCGUCCUGAGAGAACUCCACAGUUAAGCGUGCUUGGGCUGGAGUAGUUUCAGGAUGGGUGACCUUCCGGGAAGUGAUUAUCGGAACUAUAUGAGUGAAGACAAAACACAGGUAAAGAUCAUGUGGUGAUUUGUAGGGUCGGUAAACAAGUCUUUAAAGCCUCCUGGACGUAGCGGAGCAGCCGUUGGACAUGAGUGGGGCUCACAGGCCUGAGAGAAGCGUGGGUGCUCACUGGUAGGGGUGGUCGGGGCGUUAUAACUGGUAUCAGAGCAGAACCCAGUCGAGUGUGGAGUCAUGGUGGUGCAUGCGGAGAGGUUUAAAAGAAUUGAUUUGGCCACCUAUGUCACCAAAAUGUACUUAUCUAUUCGGUCAACCGUCCUGAGAGAACUCCACAGUUAAGCGUGCUUGGGCUGGAAUAGUUUCAAGAUGGGUAACCUUCUGGGAAGUGAUUGUCGGAACUGUGUCAGUGAGGACAAAACACAGGAAAAUAUCAUGUGGUGAUUUGUAGGGU